GCAGUCGACGGUACAGGAAGCAGCUUGCUGCUUCGCUGACGAGUGGCGGACGGGUGAGUAAUGUCUGGGAAACUGCCUGAUGGAGGGGGAUAACUACUGGAAACGGUAGCUAAUACCGCAUAACGUCGCAAGACCAAAGAGGGGGACCUUCGGGCCUCUUGCCAUCGGAUGUGCCCAGAUGGGAUUAGCUUGUUGGUGGGGUAACGGCUCACCAAGGCGACGAUCCCUAGCUGGUCUGAGAGGAUGACCAGCCACACUGGAACUGAGACACGGUCCAGACUCCUACGGGAGGCAGCAGUGGGGAAUAUUGCACAAUGGGCGCAAGCCUGAUGCAGCCAUGCCGCGUGUAUGAAGAAGGCCUUCGGGUUGUAGAAUUUUUCAGCGGGGAGGAAGGGAGUAAAGUUAAUACCUUUGCUCAUUGACGUUACCCGCAGAAGAAGCACCGGCUAACUCCGUGCCAGCAGCCGCGGUAAUACGGAGGGUGCAAGCGUUAAUCGGAAUUACCGGGCGUAAAGCGCACGCAGGCGGUUUGUUAAGUCAGAUGUGAAAUCCCCGGGCUCAACCUGGGAACUGCAUCUGAUACUGGCAAGCUUGAGUCUCGUAGAGGGGGGUAGAAUUCCAGGUGUAGCGGUGAAAUGCGUAGAGAUCUGGAGGAAUACCGGUGGCGAAGGCGGCCCCCUGGACGAAGACUGACGCUC
rnacentral:rRNA from 1 species